UCAGCUGCAACAAUAAAGAUCAAUUAUGACCUAAUCGCCCAGCCCAGUUCCAAAGGCCCCAGGGGGUGGGUCUCUUUCGGCCUGUCCCUCCAGGUUUAAUUACCUGAAGAGUCUUUGGACUUUGGGAGACCCAAAAGCCAAAGAAGAUCUGCAAUAAUUAAGCCAGGGAAUGGCCUUCAUCAAAGAAGUGUCUGUGGGCAUGGGGCAGCGGGCAGAGGGCAUGCCUGGCAAAGCUCUACCUGGCAUUACGGCUGUACCCUGCUUGGUCCCAGCUGACACAACGUGCCCAGCUCCACAGGCCGCAUGAUACACAUCACCGAUGGGCUCUGCAUCUCUCUUCCACCGUGUUGGCCCCUGGAUUCUUGACCAGCCCCUUCGGCAUCACAGCUCCUGAGAGGACAAUGGAAGCCACCAUUUUACAGAUGGGGCACGCUUCAUGCCAGCGUGGAGCCCAGGGUGAGGCUUGAACUCACAACCCUGAGAUCAAGACCUGAGCCGAGAGCCAAGAGUCGGAAGCUCGAGCGACUGAGCCACCCAGGUACCCCGGGUAUGCCUUUAUUAGUGACGGUUUUACAUGUGUCCCUGCAUCCUGUCACCGCCAUGACGGAGGCUCACCCUGGGUUAAGUUGUGUGCCCAAGCAGCCCGCUGGGAUGAGAAGACAGAAGACAAGCUGCCUGUGAGCAUGAGACCCAUCCCCCACUCUCGCACGGAGGUGCUGCUGUGUUUUAAAAUCACCUUGGUGGAUUUAUAUAUUAGUGUUCUUUUCUAUUUUAAAAGCGCUUUCCCAUUGUGCUUUGGCUCACUGGGGCAAUGCUGUUCUCCUGGUUGCGCCGAUAGGCUUUUCAAUCAAAACCAAACAACAAAUCCACAUGCUUCUAUUUUUUUAUAGAUCUCUGCUUUUUCAGGAAAAUAAAUAUUUGUUGAAUUGAAGUAGAAAAA